AUACGUAGGGGGCGAGCGUUGUCCGGAAUGAUUGGGCGUAAAGGGCGCGUAGGCGGCCCGGUAAGUCUGGAGUGAAAGUCCUGUUUUUAAGAUGGGAAUUGCUUUGGAUACUGUCGGGCUUGAGGGCAGGAGAGGGAAGUGGAAUUCCCAGUGUAGCGGUGAAAUGCGUAGAGAUUGGGAGGAACACCAGUGGCGAAGGCGACUUACUGGACUGUAACUGACGCUGAGGCGCGAAAGUGUGGGGAGCAAACAGGAUUAGAUACCCUGGUAGUCCACACUGUAAACGAUGAAUGCUAGGUGUAGGGGGUAUCGACCCCUUCUGUGCCGCAGUCAACACAAUAAGCAUUCCGCCUGGGGAGUACGGCCGCAAGGUUGAAACUCAAAUGAAUUGACGG
rnacentral:rRNA from 1 species